UCAUCCUGUCUCAUAUGCAUCAUCACCACAAUAGUCUGUCCUUUUGCUGAAACAAGUCUUAACAGGUGCAUUCAUAUAGUCAAAGGUCCACAUCUCCGUAUGACUGAAAUUCUACAGAAAACUUUGAACUGUUUUGCCAGGUGCUGUAUGACUUAAAGUGAGACAAAAGAGACUUUGUCUUUUCAUUUGAGUUUUUCCAAUAGUAUAAUCCUGCAAAAUACAAGUUAUCUUACAUGCAGAUCAGUUCCGGCAGUGGAGUGCCGGCUGAUGUGCUGACGUCUGGGGUGUCGGCUGAUGUGCUUACGAGGAUCUUUUAUCUUGACAGAAGUCUUUUAUAGAGGGUAAAAAUACAGAUACUGUGCGAGUCCUCAGUGAUUCAUGAAGGUCUGAACGUGUUUGUUUUCACCCAGCAGAGGGCGUUCUUCUCAUUUCUGUGGUCCUCAUGUACACAGUGAGCUCAAGACUCAUCAUGGAAGGUCAAAUCUUGCCACAGGGUGGAGCUCCAGACUUAAAUCACAGUGUUUCAGUGAGAAAAGACACAUCUGAGUUUGUCAUUUCACUCCAUCAUGCUGCUCUGUGCACUUGGAAUAUUUGCAGUACUUGCAAGAGACUCUCUUGGUGAUGUAAUAACAUCUCAUGGUUCUGAAAAAGAAGCUCAAGAUGGUAACAGUGUUACUCUCUCCUGCAACUACAGCGGUGUUGUUCUCAAUCUACUGUGGUAUCGUCAGUAUCAGAGAUCCAAACCAGAACUCCUUCUCUCCAUCAGUGAGUCUGGAGAUGCAGUUAAAGCAGAUCCAUCAGCCCAAUGGUUUUCUCCUAAAGUUGACAAACUCAGAAAGCUCAUGGAACUGGAAAUCAGCCCUGCUAAAGUAUCAGACUCUGCUGUGUAUUAUUGUUUCCUCAACACAAAAUCUCCCUGAGGAAAAAAAAAAAAAAAAAAACCUUGCUUCCAUCACAAUCCCAGAUGAAACUAAUAAAUUUGAGAACUUUUUUGAAGAGCUUCAUCUUAAUCUAACCAGAAUUUCUCUUGCAAUUUUUGCUAUAAAAAACAAAAGAAAAAACAAAAAAACACAGUUAUAACAGACAAAGAACAACUAAUGCUGAAAAGUC